AUGCCAAAACCCUCUGAUGUGAUGAUAACCACGCCAGUAUACCAGCAACAGCAGUAUGAAAUCUCCAAGUUCCUGAAGACCAAGCCACUGGCUCUGGGGAUUUUGGUAGUACUGAUAGCCUUAUUGGCACUCGGUUUGACGCUCCAUAAUGAGAGUUUUCAUCUUCUCUGGUCACCAAUCAUUUCCACUAUAAUUGGAGCCAUAACAGUCUUGGCUGCAUACACACGUAAACCACGUCUGGUCAAUAUCUCACAAAAGCUCAGCUAUGUACAUUUUGCAAUAGCUGCUUUCUCCCUCCAAACUCACAUUCUUUUUGUUUUGAUUUUUCCGAAUGUGACCUCCUAUGUCCUUAUCGCCUGUGAUAUACUGAUCUUCAGCUUCUCUCUUGCUAUUGCCGUAACCUCCUGUUCCUGUUGCUGCAAUCCAAAGUCAACCCCUGUCAUGGUCAGUUAUGUGACCACAGAUGUGCCUGACUCUUCUGCAGUGGUACAGUCCGUUAGUUCAGUCAUGUACAUGCUGCCAGCAGCACAUGGCUUAGUAACACCUGCUCCUCUGCCAAAUUGUGGUCUUUUCCCAAAUGCAUCUCCACCAAUCUACAGUCCAGUGCCAACUACACCUCCACCCAGCUACGAUAAACUCUCAGAUGCACCACCACCAAACUAUGGUCCAGUUGCAAGAACACCUCCACCAGCAUAUGAGUAUGAAGAUUUACAGACCAGAAGAUGAACUAGAUCUCAGACGCAAAUUGAAAUGUUUGAAGUUUACACAAUUUAUGGUGUUGGAUUAUGGCGAAUGUAAAACCAAAACUGAUACUUGUGUAAAUCAAAUGGAUGAGAAACACGCAUCAGAGUCCUUUGUUUCGAUCGUUUUGUUUUCACCCAAAUGUAUAAUGUUCUGUUGGAUAUGAUUAUACAUAAUACAUUGUUUUUUGUUUGUCAGUUUUCUUAAUUUAUGUGCAGUUUUUUUGUAAUUCAACACAGUAGGCAGCACAAUGGAAAUUUCACUUGAUUAAUUCAGCCCAGCAUUUACAGACUGAGACUUAGCCUUUAAAAUCCUAGCAAACAGUGUUCAGUGUGUACUUUUAAAGAAAAAAAUGUUUAAAUUUGUAUCACUCAAACAAGUGGUUUGCACAAUCAAGUCAUAAAUUGACUAUUCAUUAACCUCAGCAGCUCUAUUAUUCAGUUAAUAAAAUCAGUAAAAAUGUACUGUAACUAAAUUAU
ensembl:lncRNA